rnacentral:rRNA from 1 species
AGAGUUGAUCCUGGCUCAGGAUGAACGCUGGCGGCAGGCUUAAUACAUGCAAGUCGAACGGUAAGGUCCGAAGUGGCAACACGGAGGAUACACGAGUGGCGCACGGGUGCGUAACGCGUAUGCAACCUGCCCCCGACCGGGACAAACAGCUGGAAACGGCUGCUAAUAUCCCAUGGUCAUGCGGAAGGGCAUCCUUCUCAUGUAAAGAUUCAUUGGUCGGGGAUGGGCAUGCGUAUUAUUAGGUAGUUGGCGGGGUAACGGCCCACCAAGCCGACGAUGAUUAGGGGUCCUGAGAGGGUUAACCCCCACACUGGAACUGAGACACGGUCCAGACUCCUACGGGAGGCAGCAGUAGGGAAUAUUGGGCAAUGGGAGCAAUCCUGACCCAGCCAUGCCGCGUGAAGGAAGACGGCCCUAUGGGUUGUAAACUUCUUUUGCCGCAGAGUAAACCCGGUCACGAGUGGUCGGUUGAGAGUAUGCGGCGAAUAAGUAUCGGCUAACUCCGUGCCAGCCGCUGC